GAGGACAGGGUGUUCUUCCAGUAGGACCUAACGAGGCACCAUUUCAAAAGCAGAGAGAGCAGCCCGCAUGGACACUGAACCUGCCAGCACCUUGAUCUUUGACCUCCAGCCUCCAGAACUAUAUUCCAAGAAGCACCCUGGGACUGGAAGACACACCCUUUCACCUGGGAGCCAGUGAAAAGUUAGUGUGCCAGACUAAGAGGUCCCCAGGGAUUGCAAGCACAGCACAGCAGGCCACAUUUCUGAAUCCAGUUGUCUUCAGGCUUGGCUGCAGAUGACAUAUUGCUGGGCCUCCCUCCUUCCAGGAGCUGCUGCCCAUGGCAUUUCAGGGAAGAGCCUGUCAGCAGAAGCAUCUUUGGGCACUGUUUAGCAUAGCUAUUGUGGAGAAUGUGCCUAGGUUAGCCUGCUGGAGGGAUGUGAGAAAUUCAUGGAGGAGAGCUGAGUCACCCAGGUGACAGCAAACUAACUCCCAGAUGUGUGUGCCACAGAAAAUAGCUGGUCAACUCCAAGACCUGUGAAGUGAGCCCAGCUGAGACCGGGAGAACUGCCCAGUGUGGUCUACAUAGCCAACCUACAAACUCAUAAGCUAAAUAAA